AUCAAGUAGACUAAAGAUCAAUGCCGGGUGGAGGUAAAAGGCCCACGAGUCCUGAAAUUCUUUUCUCGGAGAAGAAGAAAUGACAGUAUAUGAAGAAUAAGCAUCGCUAACUUUGUGUCAGCAACUGCAGCAAAACAGAGGAUACAAGCAUUAUUCAGAAUGAUUGACCAUAAAGCUUUGCGACGGUCAGGUUGCUUCUUUG
rnacentral:ncRNA from 1 species